CCUACGGGGGGCUGCAGUGGGGAAUAUUGGACAAUGGGCGAAAGCCUGAUCCAGCCAUGCCGCGUGUGUGAAGAAGGCCUUCGGGUUGUAAAGCACUUUCAGUGGGGAAGAAAGCCUUGGGGCUAAUACCCUCGAGGAAGGACAUCACCCACAGAAGAAGUACCGGCUAACUCCGUGCCAGCAGCCGCGGUAAUACGGAGGGUGCGAGCGUUAAUCGGAAUUACUGGGCGUAAAGCGCGCGUAGGCGGUCUGAUAAGCCGGUUGUGAAAGCCCCGGGCUCAACCUGGGAACGGCAUCCGGAACUGUCAGGCUAGAGUGCAGGAGAGGAAGGUAGAAUUCCCGGUGUAGCGGUGAAAUGCGUAGAGAUCGGGAGGAAUACCAGUGGCGAAGGCGGCCUUCUGGACUGACACUGACGCUGAGGUGCGAAAGCGUGGGUAGCAAACAGGAUUAGAUACCCUUGUAGUC
rnacentral:rRNA from 1 species